CACGUAGGGUGCGAGCGUUGUCCGGAAUUAUUGGGCGUAAAGAGCUCGUAGGCGGUGUGUCGCGUCGGCCGUGAAAACCUGCAGCUUAACUGUGGGCUUGCGGGCGAUACGGGCAGACUGGAGUACUGCAGGGGAGACUGGAAUUCCUGGUGUAGCGGUGGAAUGCGCAGAUAUCAGGGAGGAACACCGGUGGCGAAGGCGGGGUCUCUGGGCAGUAACUGACGCUGGAGGAGCGAAAGCGUGGGGAGCGAACGG
rnacentral:rRNA from 1 species